ACACUGAUGGUGAAGCGGUUAUCAUGCUUGCCUUCCAAAUUGUGCAUGUCAUUAGGCAGCAAGCGGCAGGGGUUCGACUCCCCUUCAGUGUA